rnacentral:tRNA from 1 species
UGCAUCGGCCGGGAAUUGAACCCGGGCUGCCCGCGUGGCAGGCGAGCAUUCUACCAUUGAACCACCGAUGG